AUCCUGGGGCCCUCUGGCCAGAGUUUUUUCUGAACUAGAAGCUGGGGCUUUUUGAAAGGCUGUGAGGUCAGCUUUGUUGCAAAAAGUUUGCUCAGGCUCUUUUCAGUUAAUUGCUGAUUUCAGACCUCAGCUGUACAUUUUGAGCCCAAACUAAGCUCCUACCUGUAAACACGCUUAACAAACCUGAUCAAAACCUUUAUUAAUUUAUCUAUCUAUUUAUUUAUUUAUCUUUUCCCCUGCAGCGGAAGGCUGAGGAGCGGGGCCGAGGGCAAGGGCAGCGCAGCUCAAGGGAAGCAGAACGGGCCCGCCGAGCCGCAGCCGAGCGCAUCAGCCAGACCCUGCGGCUCCCCGCGCCCGCCCAGCAGCCUCAAAGGGGACGCACCCUGCGCCUCGGCGCUGCUGGAAGGCGGGCUGCCUCGCCGCUUGCGACACGCGUCCGACUCAGCUGCUCCCUCGCCGUGCCGGUGAGCCCCGGGACUGCCCUGGGACUGCCCCGGCCCUACCCCGGCGCUACCCGCGCAGCUGCCCGGGAGCGGCGUGGGGCGGUGGCGGGAGCCCCGCCCCGGCCCGGCCCGCCUGCCGCAGGGCAGGGGGCAGGGGGCAGGUUGAGAGCACGGGGAGCAACAGCCGAAGGGACAUCACUGGCUGGCUCUCAGAGCAAGAGACGAAGAAACGUUGGAGAGCUUCGGUGCGAUGCAGGGGGUAGCAUUACAAGAUGCAGCCUUAGCUCCUCAGACAGAAAUACACUUUUGAAAUGAAAGCAGCAGUCUGAACCAAGGGCCUUGUUUCAGAAAGGCGCUCUGCACGGCAUUGAUUCUCUGUGGGAGGAAAGCUGGGUAAACUCCACAAAAAGGUUGGUGGUGCAGACCUCUUCCCAGCUCUCAAAUACAGGUAACUUUUGUUUGUUCUUUCAUUCUUCAAAGAUCAAUGCAAACCUUUAUUUUCUAUAAAUAAUUUAAUAAAUACUUUUGUUUUACAAUGAUACAACAAAUAACAAAUUCAUAGCAAACGAGUCACAAAGAAUUUAGGAUCAGUAUACUUUAAUAAGAUAUCAGUGUCAAAAUACAUUUCCUUAUCAAGUUAAAGUUCCCAUACGUUAUAAUAUAGUCAAUAAGAAUUCAGCAAUAUAGAUUAUGAAAUAAUUAUGAUAAAAAGUAUGAUUAAUAUUAAGACAUGGAAUAUUUUUUCAGAGUGUUUUAGUAAACUGUUAGGCUAUAACAUUUUUAAUGCUGAAACUACACAAAUAAGAAACAGAAGAGCAGUAUUCAAGUGUCUUUAAUCCUUGAAGCCUUUAAUUCCUUGCCACUGCAAAUUUACUUGCCAAUUUUCAUCAGAUUUUGAUGCUUACAAUAUAUUUUUUCCACACGGUAAUAACUUCACUUUAGGAGUAGAUUAUUUUUGGUAAUAAACUCUUGUAAGAUUGCCUACAAUAGGCCCCUACAAGGGGCUAUAUUUUUAUUUUUAUUUUUUACACUGUGUACCAAUAACAAAAGAUCUUCAGCUUUUCUAAGUAUGUGUGGUUAAGACUCGCUUAACACAGCGAACUCUGAAGUGCUCUGUGAAACCAAGGCUCCCUCUCUGCAAGUGUCAGUGCAUGAUACAAAGCAAUUUUAUAAACCCAGCUUCAGCAGAAUCAGAAGUCUCAAAAGAACCUAUCUUUGUUCUAAGUUUCUGGGCCAGAUUUCUUGCCUUUUUUUGCAUUGCCACUGUUCUGUUUUCUUUAGUGAACCUAUGGUGAUUUAUACCAGUGGAGGAAACAAAAUGAUAUAGCCCAACGUAUAUCUAGGUCUGUAUGUAUUUUAAAGUCAGAACUGCUCACCUGCCGUUUAUUAUUUUAAUAUUUUUGCUCUUUAAAUGUGUUUUAAUUUAAACCUUUGAAUCCCUUUGCCUUUGAAAGCAUUCAAAGCCUUAUUUUUUAAAAUACAUGCAUGACAACAAAUGAUAGUUGGCAAGGAGCUCUGAAAAUGUCUGGUUGCCUUUUAAUGACAUUUUAGCUGCUGAUUAAUGUAAGGCAAGUAAAAACAAGAGAGACCUGCCUGCCAGCUAUUCAUCUCACUACAAAAUCCUCAAUUCUUUUUGUCUACUUAUAACUGAGUUAGCCUAAUAUGCUGGGAAAUACUACUUAAACUUUUAGUUUUAACGAUUCAAUAUUGCAAUUAUGUUGGUAUCUAGCAUAUAAAAUGAAAAAAGGGUAACAUUAAUCAGAGGUGUUAGUACUGGCCACUGGUCAGAUUCCUGAAAUAUCAGCAACAUCAUAACAAAUACUACUCUCUCUAGCAGAAACAGCUCUUAAAGUUGUUGUGUCCUAGAUACAGGAAAAGUACCAAGAGAUGAUUAACAACUGACCCAGAGACAAAUUAAAAAUAUUUAAAAAAA
ensembl:lncRNA